GCAUAUUGCCCAACAUUAAUUGUUUGUCCACAACUUGUUCCUGCAUCAUUACACACCGCCAAGUUUGUUCCUAGAGUAAAUAUAUUCGACUGGCCAACUCUUACAUCAUGUCAUCCUUUCCUCAACUCAAUUCUCUUGAGCACUCUUGAUCCAUAGCUUAGUUCAAAGGUGUUGGGGUGAAAGGACCAUAAACAUAAUUAUGCCCAAGAUAAAUUCUACCUCCUAUGUACUAAUUAAAAUAAAUAAUAACUUAACAAUAUAUAAGGACACC
rnacentral:lncRNA from 1 species